UACGUAGGGUCCGAGCGUUGUCCGGAUUUAUUGGGCGUAAAGAGCUCGUAGGCGGUUCCGUAAGUCAGAUGUGAAAACUCAGGGCUCAACCCGGAGACGCCAUCUGAUACUGCGGUGACUGGAGUCUGGUAGGGGAACACGGAAUUCCUGGUGUAGCGGUGAAAUGCGCAGAUAUCAGGAGGAACACCGGUGGCGAAGGCGCACAUCUGGCCCGAUACUGACGCUGAGGCGCGAAAGCCAGGGGAGCGAACGGG
rnacentral:rRNA from 1 species